UACAGAGGUCCCAAGCGUUGUCCGAAGUUACUGGGCGUAAAGGGCGCGUAGGCGGGAAGCUAAGUCCGCUGUCAAAGCCCGGGGCCUAACCCCGGAAGGUCGGUGGAGACUGGUUUUCUUGAAGCUGCCAGGGGGAGAUGGAAUUACCGGUGUAGCGGUGAAAUGCGUAGAUAUCGGUAGGAACACCAGUGGCGAAGGCGGUCUCCUGGAGCAGACUUGACGCUGAGGCGCGAAAGCUGGGGGAGCGAACGGG
rnacentral:rRNA from 1 species